rnacentral:rRNA from 1 species
UGCCGUGAAGCUCUUUCCCAUGGCUGCUGCUACGAGCCGCCAUGGCUGGUGGUGAGAGCUUCCUCUUUCGCGGUCGUCGUGUGCUCCGACGAGGGCCGUGCUACGGGACGCGGCCGGUCCAGAGAUGAGAUGCGCCCGCGGCGGGAGGUGUGCUGCAUCCGAUCACUCAGGAAGCUGGAACCGUCGACAAGCGUGCUGCAACCGGCGGCGAAGAAGAGCUGCAAGGAGGGGAGCAACUGCUGGUGGUGGAGAUGACGCCCUCAGGUGCUGCAACCCAUGGCUAUUUUUGCUGGAAUCGGGGCAGCAAAAAAGCUACAUCCAACACUGCCGGCGAUGAAGACGACGACCUGCGGUGCUGCAUCCAGCGAGUUGUUUGCUGGAACCGGCCGGCGAAAAAGUUGCAUCCACACCGACCCGUGCUGGAAUUCGACGACCAGAGUUGGACGACGCCGGCGAUGCUACAACCGUCAACAGUGGGAGCUACAAGCAACGAUGGCGAGAUGGAAAGCUGUGACCAUGGAGUUGAUUUGCUGGGACGGGGGGACGAGUGUGGUGGCGGAGUUGCAACGGUGGUUGGUGGUGGAGAUGGGACCGUGCCCCCUGCUUCAUCCACAGGGCCGUCGGGAGCUGCAAUGGCAACCUCGGGCACGACGGCGACCUCGCGCGCGACGACGGCGACUUGGUGCAGCGCGCCUGCACGAGCAAACCGACGGCGACCUCGCGCGCGACGACGGCGACUUGGUGCAGCGCGCGUGCACGAGCAAACCGACGGCGACCUUGCGCGCGACGACGACGACUUGGUGCAGCGCGCCUGCACGAGCAAACCGACGGCAAGCGCGGGUCACGGGGCGGCCGACGAGCGUAUGUUGCGCGGCCGUGCGGGAGGCCGGCGAGUGCGGAUGAGGUCGAGCGGUUGCGCUAGGCUCUAUCCUCUUCUUCUUUUUUCUUUUUUAUUUAGAUGAACGAAUGAUCGUACGGUCUAAAAGCGGUGUAUCGUGAGGUAACGCAGCGACCGGCCCAAAUUUGGGCCGGCGCGCCGGCGCGUAUCACUCGCCUUAAAAAAAAAUCUUCCUCAAAAAAAAAAAAAACUCGCCUUAAAAAAUUCCGUCCAUUUCAAGGCGGCUUAAGGUCUCCUGCAAAACCUCCACAAUCCCCCUCGCUCCGCAUGGAAUCCGACGGCGAGCAUUCGCCGCCGCACGCCUGCGGUGCUGGCCACCGGGCGUCGCACUCUCUCCCGACCUCGGCGGGCGGCAGCGUCUGCGUUUCCUGCGCCGCGGCCCUCCUCUCUUCCGCCUCCGCGCCGUCCCACCACGUCUCCCACGUGCUCGCCAGCCUCUCCCUCGCCCUAGCUGACCCGGCCUUCCUCGCGCCUCUCCGCGCCGCCCACCCGCGCCUCCUUGCGGUGCCACUAGUCGAGGCCCUCGCGGGCGCGGCCGCCCGCCGAGACGCCGCACUCGCCACCCAGGCAUCCGACCUCGCCGCCGACCUCGCGUCCGCCGUGGGCCCCCCCGCCGCCUCCGAGCUCGUCGCGCGCCUCGCCCACGUCCUCUCCUCGGGUUCUCUCGUCAAGCACUUACACAUGGUACGUGUGCCGCUACUCCGUGCUACGCUGUGCUGAGAUGCAUGCUAGUUAUGGUCAGCGGUUAUGGGCUGCUGGGCAGGGAGAGGUGGUGAUUUUUUUUUUUUUUGCGGGUAAGAGGUGGUGGAUUUUAGAAAUAAUGCUACAUUGGGUAUGUUGCCUGCAAAUAGUUUUAAGUGGAAUGGUUGAAAGGAAAUUAUUCAAACUGUGUGAAAGAAUGUGGUGAAUAGUCCAGGAUUUACUAUUUAGUGAGCAGUCGGAACCAAUUUUUUUGCUGCAGAAAACAUGGCGUCUCACAUUCUUUGAUUGUACAACUCUGAUAUGGUAAAUUGGUAAUGGCGCAUAGCCAAGAGCUUGAUUGGACACACAUGUAGCAUUUCUUAUUAUCGGCAGAGUAUUCAUGAUCUAUUUGCUUCCAUUUUGGACAUUUUAGUGUUGAUGAAGUUUUUUUUGAAGUGUCUUACACAUUGUUGCUGCUUUAUACUACUCCCUCCGUCCGGAAAUACUUGUCACCAAAAUGAAUAAAAGAGGAUGUAUCUAGAUGUAUUUUAGUUCUACAUACAUCCCUUUUUGUUCAUUUUGAUGACAAGUAUUUUCGGACGGAGGGAGUAUUUAUUAAUUUUCAUCAUGCACAGUUCUAUGCUCUCGAUUACCGAACAUGUAUGAACCUAUUUUAUUACUACAGUUUCUGAUUUUCCAACUCCUAGCCAGGAUCAUACAAGUUGCAUCAUGUGAAUCAUGCCUCUUUCUUUCUUGUUCACAUGUAGCAGUGUCUUGUUUCCAUAGUGUACAGCUAUAUUCUGCUAGUGAAACUAUCAUGCGAUUUUGUGGUCUUCAUAUGCUUGCAUUUUAUUGCUUGAUGUUUUCUGUGGCACCAUCGGUUUCAUUCAUCUCAUCUGUAAUUUCUAGUUCUCUAUGUUCUUAGUACUCGUAUGCACAUUACAUAUCUUUUCCUUACAUUUUGUUACCUUCAUAUGGACCGAGUUACAACUAGAGAGAAGCAUCAGUUAGAUCCAUUGUGGGUAUUUAUCUCCUUAGUUCCCCUCCAAUUUUGGUCUAGAAUAUUUUGCAAUAAAGUAUAUUUGGAACUUGGAAGUGCUAAUAGGGAUGCUUAUUAUAUUUACUACUUGAAAUUUCCAUCUAGAGAGGGUUAAUGAUGGUAUGUUCUAUGUUUUCUUGUUCCUACUUCCCUUCCACCUCUAAACUUGUCACAGAAAACCAGAACAAACUACACCUCUUACAAACAAAAUAACUUCUAACAAAAUUUAUUUCUAAUGCUGCCUCUAACCAGAAAACACAAAUGUCAAACAAACGAAUCAACUUCUAACAAAUAUAUUCUUGUGCCAGCAACUUAUUUAUCUGAUUCCCAUAGUUCCCUGACCUGGGCUCAUCCUCUUAGUUUUCCCAAAUUACCACUGCCCAAAGUAGUGGCAAUAGACUCAGCUCUGCCUGGCCCAUGUCCCGUCCGCUUCUUCACUGUUGAGUGAGGUCACCACUUCCAACCCGUGUGCAUGGUUUUUUAUUUAUCCACAGACCACCACAAUGCAACACAUGGUUGUUCAGGUAGGGAGUGUAAUAUUCAAGGCAGGGAAAAGCAUAAAAAGUGUGGAUUCAUUUUAUUUUGUUAAUGCCACUCUGGGAACUGAGUUUGAAUGUUACCAGCAGAGAAACCUGCUGUUAUGUUUCAGGGUGCAGCUUGAUGAUGAUUGACUUGCUUUACCUGUUACAAUAAUUGUGAUUUCAACUAUUGUAUCUGAUUAUUGUAAAGUGGUUUGACUGGGCAGACUGUAUCAUUUUAAAAUGUGAGCCGCUUUGGGACUUAACUCCGCUGAAUUAGUGGCAACACUACUAUUGCAGUUUUCUUGAACUACUUUACUGCCACAAUUUCUGAAUCUUUGUCUUAUCUCAGUGCAGCUACACUGUUUGGGAUUUUUGUUAAAUUCCAUCAAAGGUGCUGCAGCAUACAUUGGAGAUGCAGUUUCUCUUUUCUUAAAUCUUGUUAACAAUCUGCGACUACCAAGUGAUGAAAUUCGUGGAGAGAUACUGUUCAUGCUGUACAAACUCUCCCUGUUAAAUGCUACCCCGUGGGACAAUAUAUGUGAUAAUGACAAUGUGGACCUUUCAGCAGUCGGAAAGAGUUUGCUUCAACUCUCGCUUGAAGUUCUACUUAAAACUCAAAAUGAUGCUGUUCGCCUGAACUGUAUUGCAUUGCUCCUUGCGCUAGCAAAGAAGGAGGCCUUUGAUAUUUUGCUGCUUGGCGACCUGAGCUUAAUCAAGUCUGUAGAGGAAGAAGAGUCCUCGCAGACAGAUGAUGUGCCCCUGAAUGCCUCUAUCAUAGUUCUAUUUGCUGAUGCUGUCAAAGGAUCUCUGCUCUCUACGAAUCUAGAAGUGCAAACUGGGACAUUGGAUUUAAUAUUUCAUUUCCUGUCGUCUGAUGCAAAUAUUUGUGUUGUACUUCAAACUUUGAUAGAUGAAAAUGUUGCUGAUUAUGUAUUCGAGGUUCUGAGGUUAUCAGGAAAUAAUGAUCCACUGGUAAUUUCCUCUAUUCAAGUACUAUCACUUUUAGCGACUUCAGAGGAGAUGUUCAAAGAAAAGCUUGCCAUUGGAUUUUCUACUCUGCUUCCUGUUCUUCAUUAUGUUACUGAGAUUCCAUUCCAUCCAGUCCAGUCUCAGGUUUUACGACUUGUUUGGAUUUGUAUUGCUAAUUGUUCUGGCAUUCUGUCGUUGUCCCAAGAAGAACAGAUAGCAUGUACUUUGACUCUAAUUUUGAGAAGAAAUGACAGUGGUGAACUUGGAAUGUGUUCUGAAACCUUUGCUCUUGUUUGCUCAAUAUUAAUAGAGAUUAUGAGGUCACCAUCUGCUCAUGAUAUUCAGAAACUACCUUCAUUAAUUGAAGAAGCAUCAAAACAUGCUAUCUCUUCGACAUUACCUCAUGCGUAUGACUCUGCAUUUCUCGUACCACAUUCCCUUCGUCUUCUUAAAGAAGCACUUAUAUUCUGCCUUGAAGGGAAUACAGAUAAGAUUUCUGUCAAGAAGGAUCUUGAAGAUAGCGUCAUUGAAAUUUGUGGAACUUAUUUACUGCAUUGGCUCGAAACUGCUGUUGUUGAUGGUAAUGAUGACGAAACAUUGGGAGAAAUCCUUCAGAUUUUCCAUAUUAUUCUAUCAAGCACAUGUCACAAUAAGCAACUCAAGUUUGCUGAGAUGCUGGCAUCAUCCUCAUGGUUUAGCUUGUCAUUUGGAUUCAUGGGCUUAUUUCCUACCGAUCAUGUCAAAUCAGUAGUAUAUUUGAUCACUAGUUCAAUUGUCGACAAAAUUUUGGGCUGUAAAUAUGGGGAAACAAUUAGAGAUGCAUACGUAUAUCUGCCAUCAGACCCUACAGAACUUGUGUAUUUACUUGGGCAAUGUAGCUCCGAAGAUUUCAACUUGGCAUCAUGUCAAUGUGCUAUUCUAGUUAUACUUUAUGCCUGUUCAUUCUAUAAUGAAAGGCUGGUUGCUGACAGCCAACUUCUGUCUUCAGUUGAGCAAUACAUCCUUCUAAAUGGUGGGAAGUUUCCCUAUGAAAUUGCUGGUUCUGUGAUGCUUACUCUGCUGGUCCAUCUUUAUGCCUUCGUCAGAGGCAUUUCAUUUGGCUGCACCAUUCAACAUAGUCCAGAAGCUGAGAGAACUCUGUUCCAUGUAAUGGCAUGUAAGGAGUGGGACUUGCUUUUUAUCCGAGUCCACCCAAUAGCACUAAAAUGGCUCUUCCAGAAGGUAGAACUUCUAGAACCACUAUCUUUCCAGAUGCUAAAUUUCUGUAGAACUUUCUGUGAAGACAGAACUGUCGUGCUUUUAAACAGCAGUCAGUUGGUGGACAUAAAGAUGGUUGCAGAACUGGUAUUUUCAGGAGAGACUAGUCUCUCUUCUUUGCUUGUAUCCUUACUGAAUCAAAUUAUAAAGGAUGGUACAGAAGAUGAGCUCUUCUCAGUGGUUAAUGUGAUUGCUGAAAUCCUAGUGAUCUCUCCUUGUUCUUCUAGUCAUUUUACAUCAUCUGGUGUUAUAGAUGCAGUUGGUAGUAUAUAUUGCUCCCCAUAUUCUUCAAGGAUUAAAACAGUGUGUUCCCUUUUGAUCUUUAAUAUUUUAUACUCGGCAAGUGCGGUGACAGUCUACUGGGAAGAUGAAUGGCUUGCUCUUACCAUGAAGUUAUUGGAGUAUUUCAAUUCGAGUCUUGAUUAUACAUCGAGUGACCAAGAACAGAAGAUAUUAAUUGGGAUAUUUUGCCUUAUUUUGCAUCAUUCAGCAAGCAAGGUGCUCAUUGAGCCUGCGAAGGCCAUAAUCUUGAACAAACCACUGGUUUCUUUGACAGAUGGUAUAAUACAGGAAGCUUGUGCAAAGGGCCCAUCUUUACUUCAAUACAAUCAGGAAACAGACUUUGGGGGAUUCAUAAUUUUGAUUCUUCAAUUAGUGUUUUUCUCUCUAAGAAGGUUGGGAGAAAUUCGGAAGCCAGGAGAAUAUGGUGGGCAGAGAAUCAAAAUGGUCCAGGCUAAUAAUGGAGGAAUUUGCAGUUGCCUUGACUGCUCCUGGUUUGACGUCAAAAUCAUUCAGUAAUCAGCAGAAGAUUGCAUCAAAUAUAGCUGUUUCAUUGCUCAAACUAAGCCAAGUUCCAGAAUGGCUGACAUCAUUGUUUGAUAGUUCUUUGAUAUCUGGUGUAGUUGGUAAUCUUUCUGCUAGGAAUGUCACUGCAGAUAUUGUUAAGCUAUUCAGUGAGCUUAUGACUAAGAAAUAUCUCACUCAAGAGCACGUUGUCUCCCUGCAUAACUUAUUCCAGGUCUGCAGAAGACAGGUCUACGAGGGGAGUUGUUCGAAGUCGAAGUUGUCGGAGCAAAAGGCAGAAGAAACGGUGGCAAGGAGCCCCGACGAAGUGUGUGCAUUGCUCUUUGGCAUCGUGCUGAAUCAGCGUACAGCCUCGUGCACGUUGCAGAUGGAGCGGCAGAAUCUUCUGCGUGAGAUCGAUCUGUUCUUCCAGGAGUCGCGCCAAGGAGAGUAGCAUUAAGACCAGCUAACUUGUUCAGCUCUACCGAUCUUUUCCCACUAUGUAUAGUAUAGCCUCUAGAUGGUGCGCGGUAGUGCUCAUGUCCUCUGAACCCUGAGAAGUUUUGCAACUGCUUAUAUGAGAGUGGUGGUAUGCAACCUGUGCAAAUUUGUCAUGGAUCCAGCCUUGCAAUCUGAACUAGCAAGGAACACGGUUGAGAUAUACGGAGUAGAAUGGUGUUAAAGCUGAUGCUCCGACAAGCAAACUGAUAUUAUUUACUAUGGUUAAUUGGUUGUGCCAAUCGCUUGUACAGUGAGUGUGAAGUAUGCAAAGCCCAUUCCUUUUUGGGGAGUCCGAGCUCAAAGCAUCCAAAAUACAAACCGUGGGAACUUGGAACCAUGCAGUUCCAUACUUGAACCUUCCUUAGCUAGGGUAUGGACAACACAGUCCUAUCAGUUUCAGAACUGAAACUUCCACUUACUGUAUGAAAGUAAGGAAAUUAUUGUCCAUAAUUCAGGA